GGGCCGUGUGGGGCGGCGGGCCUCGCGUCGCGUCGCGUCCCGUCCCCUUCGUACCGCCCCCUCGUAGCCCCCUGGUAGGCAUUUCUUAAUUUCUAGGUGUCGGAAAGCCUCUGGACAAGAGAUGAGAGCCGGUCGGGACGAGCACAGGCCGCAGGCGUUCGCUGCGUUUCUUCGCUGGCAGCGGGAGCGUGGGGAGCCUCGGCUGGCUGAUCCGGGGGGGGCGCCGGGUCGGUACGAACCACGCAGAGCGGGGACUGACAGAGACUGACUCAGGAAGAACUGAAGAUUUUAACCUGAAAGUCAACAGAAUGAGGGACAAUGGGACAAACUGCAAUGCAGGAAACUCCAUAAAACAUGAGGAGGAACUUCUGUGGGGGUGACCGAGCACUGGAACAGCCUGUCCAGAGAGCUCCUUUUCUGGAGGGAUUCAAAACCCACCUGGAUGCCUUCCCGUGUGACCUGCUGUAGGAACCUGCUGUAGCACGGAUUGGAAUGGGUGAUCUCAGAGCUCCCUUCCAGUCCCUGUGCUUCUGAGAUACAGCACAGGUGGGUUAGAUCCCUUCAGAGGCUGGCAGCCCUGAGCCGUGCCGCUGCACCCACACCUCCAGCCUGGGAACGGCCCACGUGCACAUCCCAUCUGUGGAGAGGUUCCCCAGCACUUUGGUCCUUAGAGCUCCUACAGGAUCGCCUGCCAAUAAAACAGUGCAAGUCAUUUAUUACCUACAAGGCACUGUUUUUGUGGGGAUCUGGCUUUGCACCUGCAGAGAUCGUAUGCCUGUGCGGGUAUCCUCGAAGCAGCACUGUGAGUGCACACUGGAACCAUUUCCACACACAGGGGAAUUUCCACAAGGAAACCCUCAGGAGAGGCACUCAGACUCAGUCUGUUCCUCUCUCCCCCCGUGCCACAGCCCACUGGGAUUCUGCCAGCUGUGCCAAAUGUAACGCACUGGGGCCAGCACUGAUGUUGCCUCACCUGGAAGAGCGGUUGGACUCCCAAACAUAUUGAUUAAAAUACCAUUUAUUGGCACUUGCACGAGAAAAAAGGAGGGUGCAGAUAAUCUCAUGUCCCUUAGGAUGCUGGGAACCCCAAACUGUACAGACACCUCCAGCCAGGGCAGGACAGGUGUUUAUGAAGUAACGUAAGGUCAAAAGCGAGUCUCCAGCUGCAGAACUCUAGCACAUGGACAAGCCAUGUAAAGAGAAAAGAAACAUCUCCC
ensembl:lncRNA